rnacentral:rRNA from 1 species
CACGUAGGGCGCAAGCGUUGUCCGGAAUUAUUGGGCGUAAAGAGCUCGUAGGCGGUGUGUCACGUCGGCCGUGAAAACCUGCAGCUUAACUGUGGGCGUGCGGUCGAUACGGGCAUCACUGGAGUUCGGGCAGGGGAGACUGGAAUUCCUGGUGUAGCGGUGAAAUGCGCAGAUAGUCAGGGAGGGAACACCGGUGGGCGAAGGCGGGUCUCUGGGCCGAUACUGACGCUGG